ACCAACAUGGGGACUUUAUUCAGAUUUAGACCUUUUGAUUACAUCAAACUAAUAGCGGUGCUUCUCCUUUUUCCCUCUUUCUCCUGCAUAAAUUAUUCCUGGUUUCCUCUCUCUCUCUGUGGAGCGCUUUUCUCGGCACUCUUUGAAGAUCCUGCCACCUCACUGUCCCCAAUUCCUCUCUCUCUCUCUCUCAAGAACAGACGUAGUGUCGGACACGGUCGAGAAAUCGGGAUAGAGAGGGGACGGAGAAGUAAAGAUUCGUUCUUGACGAGGAGAAACAACAGGGAACAAAGAGGAGCGCUUUGGUGGCAUCUGGGGGUAAUGAUGGUGGCUCACGAGGAGAGUUUACUGAGCUGGGAAGAGGCUUUUGAUCCUCCGGCUCCUCUACUUUACUAGAAACCUCGCCUCUGAAGGAAAAAAAAAGGAUUUUUUAAAGAGGGAAAAGAGGAGGAGUGAGAGAGAUGGGAAUGGGGAUGGGAGCUCCUCAUUCUUAAAUGCCUCUCCUUUCUGAAGAAGGGAGUCAGUAUAAGGUUGAAAUAAAGGGAAAACAAGAUGGUGGAGCAGCGGUUCUUCUUCAACAAGGAUGCACUCGUCAUAAAGGGACCAAAGAAAUCGCAUGCUUUGAGGAUGUUUAUGUUAGCUGCUGUGAUGAUAUGUGGUGUCUAUAUUUGCUCAGUAUGUUUAACGCAAUUGGGGAUACAAAGCAGACCCAGAAAAUUGAAGAUGGAGAUAAUGGAAGCACCUUGCAAAAAUCCUGCCAUUCCAUAUUAUGAAAUCCCAUAUGUGCAUUAUCCAGAACCCAAUACUUAUAGCAGGGAUGAAUGUGCAUGUACACCAGUUCGGUUUUUUUCUAUUGUGUCCAUGCAGAGGUCUGGAAGUGGAUGGUUCGAGACUCUUUUGAAUAGCCAUGUUAACAUUAGUUCUAAUGGGGAGAUUUUCUCUUCCAAAGAAAGGAGAGGCAACAUAUCGGCAAUCAUAAGGGCAUUGGACAAAGUUUACAAUCUGGAUUGGUACAGCAGUGCUGCAAAAAAUGAUUGUACAGCUGCUGUUGGCUUGAAGUGGAUGCUUAAUCAGGGCCUUAUGGAGAAUCAUGUAAAGGUAGCCAAAUACUUCAGUCGAAGAGGGGUCUCUUUGAUUUUCCUGUUCAGAAGAAACUUGCUUCGUCGUUUGGUUUCACAACUCGCAAACGAUCAUGAUCGCAACACUAAGCAAUUAAAUGGGACUCAUAAAGCUCAUGUACAUUCAACAAACGAGGCCAACAUACUCGCGAGAUACAAGCCCAGGAUCAACACCUCAGAAUUGAUUUCAACUCUCAGGCACACACACAAGUUCAUCACCGAUGCCAUGGGGCACUUCAGGAACACCCGGCACAUUGUUCUGUACUACGAGGACCUUGUCCAGAAUCGAACUAAGCUGAUGGAUGUUCUGGAGUUCCUCAGAGUCCCUCCAAGGAAGCUGGUUAGUCGACAUGUAAAGAUACACACAAGACCACUGCCCAAGUUGGUCGAGAACUGGGAUGAUGUUUACAGAUCUCUUGAAGGAACGAAGUAUAGGAGCUUCUUGAAUGCCAAUUACGAUUUAUAGAUUGUUCUUCAUUUGAUCCUUGUUGUAGCUGGAUUCUCCAGGACACAGCCACAUUAAGCUAAAGUACUUACGGAGAUCUCAGGGCUUCCUUGGACCAGAAGCUGAUCCAACAAGCUCGGCCGAGUGGGAAGGGUCAACGGGCUGGUCUCAUGGGCUGCAUAAAAGACCAGUAUGGGAUGAUUAUGGGCUGAAUUAUGUCUUCGGCUAUUGGACCUUGAGAAUGGAUUAAUGGGCUGAUAUUUUCGGGUGGGCAAAUGGGCUGAGUGUUGGGUUAGCCAGCAGGAAUCAAUAAACGGAUGACCAUUUCAACGUAAUGAUUUCUGGUUUCCGGAAUCUACACCAAGGAGUUCCCUGUCUGGGAGCCACAGGCGAUCUGACUCGCAGUUCCUCCACUGCCUUACCGAGGCCAAA